UCAUGUGUCUAUUAGCCAUCUGGAUGUCUUCUUUGGAGAAGUGUCUAUUCAUGUUUUUUGCCCAUUUCUUCACUGGAUUAUUUGCUUUUUGUGUAUUGAGUUUCGUAAGUUCAUUAUAAAUUUUGGAUACUAACCCUUUAUCUGAUAUUUAUGAUACAUCAUUUGCAAAUAUCUUCUCACAU